CCUACGGGAGGCUGCAGUGGGGAAUAUUGGACAAUGGGCGAAAGCCUGAUCCAGCCAUGCCGCGUGUGUGAAGAAGGCCUUCGGGUUGUAAAGCACUUUCAGUGGGGAAGAAAGCCUUGGGGCUAAUACCCUCGAGGAAGGACAUCACCCACAGAAGAAGCACCGGCUAACUCCGUGCCAGCAGCCGCGGUAAUACGGAGGGUGCGAGCGUUAAUCGGAAUUACUGGGCGUAAAGCGCGCGUAGGCGGUCUGAUAAGCCGGUUGUGAAAGCCCCGGGCUCAACCUGGGAACGGCAUCCGGAACUGUCAGGCUAGAGUGCAGCAGAGGAAGGUAGAAUUCCCGGUGUAGCGGUGAAAUGCGUAGAUAUCGGGAGGAAUACCAGUGGCGAAGGCGGCCUUCUGGACUGACACUGACGCUGAGGUGCGAAAGCGUGGGUAGCAAACAGGAUUAGAUACCCGAGUAGUC
rnacentral:rRNA from 1 species